GAUCAAGUGCCAUAAGGGCGUUCGGUGGAUGCCUUGGCAUCGAGAGGCGAUGAAGGACGUGGUACGCUGCGAUAAGCUGUGGGGAGGUGCGAACAACCUUUGAUCCGCAGAUUUCCGAAUGGGGAAACCCACUUUCGAUCAGUGUUAUCUUGAGGCUUUCCGUGCAUGCGGAAGGGUCUCGGGCUUCGGUUCGGGGCGAAAGCUUCGAGCUAACACUGGUCACAAAGAAAGUAUUCUAUCCCUGAAUACAUAGGGGAUUGAAAGCGAACCCAGGGAACUGAAACAUCUAAGUACCUGGAGGAAAGGAUAUCAACGAAACUCCGUGAGUAGUGGCGAGCGAAAGCGGAUCAGGCCAAUGCUUCCUGAAGUCUAAGCGGAACCGUCUGGAAAGUCGG
rnacentral:rRNA from 1 species